rfam:Ictidomys tridecemlineatus contig097484, whole genome shotgun sequence.
GGGGUUGUGGCUCAGUGGUAGAGCGCUUGCCUAGCAUGCAUGAGACCCUGAGUUCGAUCCCCGGCACCA